rnacentral:rRNA from 1 species
UACGUAGGUGGCAAGCGUUGUCCGGAUUUACUGGGCGUAAAGAGCGCGCAGGCGGCCGAGUAAGUCGAAUGUGAAAGCCCCCGGCUCAACUGGGGAGGGUCACGCGAUACUGAUCGACUCGAAGGCAGGAGAGGGUAGUGGAAUUCCCGGUGUAGUGGUGAAAUGCGUAGAUAUCGGGAGGAACACCAGUGGCGAAGGCGUCUACCUGGCCUGCUCUUGACGCUGAGGCGCGAAAGCGUGGGGAGCAAACAGG